rnacentral:rRNA from 1 species
CACCUCUAGCAUUACCAGUAUUAGAGGCACUGCCUGCCCAGUGACAUUAGUUAAACGGCCGCGGUAUCCUGACCGUGCAAAGGUAGCAUAAUCAUUUGUUCCUUAAUUAGGGACUUGUAUGAAUGGCCCCACGAGGGUUUAACUGUCUCUUACUUUUAAUCAGUGAAAUUGACCUUCCCGUGAAGAGGCGGGAAUAUGACAAUAAGACGAGAAGACCCUAUGGAGCUUAAAUUAAUAUGCUCAACAAAAUUUAAAUUUAACCCAACAGGAAUAAUCACAAUUUAACUGAGCAGCAAAUUUUGGUUGGGGUGACCUCGGAGUAUAACAAAACCUCCGAGUGAUUUUAACUAAGACAUACUCGUCAAAGUUACAUAACUUAUUGAUCCAAUCAUAUUGAUCAACGAAACAAGUUACCCUAGGGAUAACAGCGCAAUCCUAUUCGAGAGUUCAUAUCGACAAUAGGGUUUACGACCUCGAUGUUGGAUCAGGACACCCAAAUGGUGCAGCAGCUAUUAAAGGUUCGUUUGUUCAACG